CAUUCGGAAGAAAACUCAAGUUGUCACCCAUGUGUGUCCUUCUUCCUCCUCCAUUUCGUUCCUUUCUUUCCAACUUCAGAAAAGCCCUAGCUCUCAUCUCCUCAAGGAGAGGAACAACAAGCCGAAACACUCUGUGUUCUUUAGUUCCACACGCCCAUUUCAUUGUUUGAUGCUGCAUUUCACACCUUGGGAAGAAGCUUAAAUCAGUUGAGUGUGUGACUAAGUGGAAGAAGGGUAGCCCAAAUCGUGCAAAACCACAAUUGUGAAGGACUUAUUGAGGUGCAAAGAUGGACUGAGGUUGAGCUUGGAGGUAAGUAGCUAUGACCAUGCUUCUUACUCAAUAUUUUCUUCUACUAAAUACUCCUUUUUAUUCAAAUGCUUCUUUGUGAUAAAAUAAGGUAAAUGUAUAUGCUAUGUAUGAGCCCUUCUUGAUAGCCCAUGUUAAGUAUCCUAUUAAUUAUAAAUGUGUGCAUAUGUAUGAUGUAAAGUAUGCACAUUCAAGGUCUAAAUCAUGAGAUUUACCAUGCAUGUUUUCUUAAGAAUUACUGAUUUUCCCUUAUAUAAAGUAUGGCAUGAAAUGCAUCUUUAUGAAAGAAAAUGCAUGUGCAUUAGACUAAGAAAGAUGAUGAAAAUGCUUUCAAUGGAAAGAAAGGAAAGAAAGAGGAAUGGAAUUUUUAUGUAAGAAAAUACUUAAUGGCCAACAACUGAAUGAUUAUGGUACCAAAGAAAGGGGAAGAUUGUAAUGUCGGAUCGGUCCCAUUGGUAGUGCACCCAUUGGCGCCAUCCUGAUUGAGGGAUUUCCAAUCUGCGGCCACUGGCAGAAUCAAGUCUACUAACCCUAACACGCAUGGCGUAAUAGUGUGUACCGGCCAAUGAAAGUGUAACUGAUUAUGAAUGUUUAUUUUAAAUGUUUUAAGCUUGUAUGACUUUCCAAAAGAAAAGAAUAGUUCAUGUAUGAUAUUUUAAUUGCAUGGUAUAUUGCUUACUGAGUAUUAGAGACUCACUUUUGUGUUAAUGUUUUAAACAUCCAAUAAAUGAUGAGGGCGAGGUUGCAGAGUAAGGCACUACUCAGGAAGGAGAGACAGACGCCUAGUGGUAGCCUUGGGAUGGGUCUCUUUUUAUGGUGUUGGGUUUAUUUUGAUAGUUAUGUGAAAUUGCGGACUAUGUAUUUUGGGGGAGAAAUGUUUUGUAGAUCGGGUAUAUGUUCUACCUGAAUGGUAGUUGUGGAUGUUUUUAUUUUGUAACUAAUGGGACUAUCUCCCACUUUGACAAACUAUGUUAUUUUGGAUUGAACUUAUAAAAGAAAAUGGGAAGGUCCCUUUUUAUAAAUUGCUAGGAUGUUAUUCAGGUUUCUUUUAUAAAGUGUUGGGAUAUUGUUUAUGUUUAGGAAAAAAAAGUAGGAUGAAAUGUAGCAGCUCCUUGCAUUUUUAGGGAGGGGUUGUUACAAAUGUAAUGGAUAAGUGUUUAUGUUUUGGAAUUA